rnacentral:lncRNA from 1 species
GCCAGGCAUUAUAAUACUGUGCCUCACUGGAGAUUUUCCUGGAUGGGGAUGUAGAAGUUGCUCCAGCACAGCUCUGACACUGGGUCCUGGUCAGGAGUUGAAAAUAAGGAAAAGAGAGGAAGAAAAACCACAAAGAAAGAGGCAUCUGAAAAGUAAAAAAAUUCGGAGCUGGAGGUGAACCUGAACACUCAGAGGUAAUUUGCCUUGAGGAGCAAGAACCCUUGAGACCUGUGUGUAGACUUUUGAAAAAAGACCCUGUGAACAAUAGCAAAGGCUAUGAACGUACCAUCCCUCUGACAGAUCAAUUAUCACCAUUAAGCGUGUCAGAAAGAAGUGGGA